rnacentral:rRNA from 1 species
UACGAAGGGUGCAAGCGUUAAUCGGAAUUACUGGGCGUAAAGCGUGCGUAGGCGGUUAUUUAAGUCUGUUGUGAAAUCCCCCGGGCUCAACCUGGGAAUGGCAAUGGAUACUGGAUAGCUAGAGUGUGAUAGAGGAUGGUGGAAUUCCAGGUGUAGCGGUGAAAUGCGUAGAUAUCUGGAGGAACACCGGUGGCGAAGGCGGCAUUCUGGACCGACAUUGACGCUGAGGAGCGAAAGCCAGGGGAGCAAACGGG